GAUCGCUAUGAAGACUUCGAAAAUUCAAGCUCAACAGACCGGAUUGCAGGUCUUUUCUCCAUUGGAGCAAGAGCUUUGCAUGUCGACAACCCCGCUGAACUGAGCGAUC